AAGCAGCAGUUACUGGAUUGGACUGACUGACAGUGCGGAGGAGGGAGUUUGGCGCUGGGUGGACGGCACUGGUCUGAAGCAGGGUGAUUUGGCGAAGCCCGUCUCUUGGUCGUUGGUUCCAUCGACUCUGAAGCUGACAUAUCUGGCUGGGCGACCAGGCAGGAGGCGAAGGAGGCAACUCCGGGCCAGGAUGGGGAGCCGAAGGAGGUGGAGGGGAGGAGGAGGGAAAACCGAAUAGCUGUAACGGCAAAGAAGGACAAAAGAUAAGACCAGAUCAAGCUCCAAUCCCUGUGGAUUGAUUUCAGGGGGUCUAGGGCUGCUGUGUUUCCUCCAAUUCGCUGUCAUCAUAGUCCUGAGCAUUUACUUGAUGGGAGUUAAGCCCAAACAGGACAACGAUGACUGCAGCAUCCUGGCUAAAGAGAAGGAGCAGCUUCUCCUCAAACUUAACAACAUGACUCAACUACAGGAACAAAACAACCAGCUACAGAAUAGUUAUACAAAGUUAGAGGAGACAAAGAAUAAAUUGGUCAUGGACAAGAAUUAUUUUCAGCAACAAUGUGUCAGUUUGCAAAAAGAUAAGGAUGAAAUACAAAAUAACUAUGAUGCUCUGUUAAGUAAAUUACCCCUCCUUCAGAAGUACUGCCACACCACUGAAAAAGGGCGAGUCUGUGAUCCCUGUCCUCAGGGCUGGGAGAAGCACAACUCCAAGUGUUACUAUUUCUCUACAAGUGUAACGACCUGGAAUGAAAGUCAGAAUAACUGCA